GUGGGUAACCUGCCCUGUACACACGGAUAACAUACCGAAAGGUAUACUAAUACGGGAUAACAUACGAAAGUCGCAUGGCUUUUGUAUCAAAGCUCCGGCGGUACAGGAUGGACCCGCGUCUGAUUAGCUAGUUGGUAAGGUAAUGGCUUACCAAGGCAACGAUCAGUAGCCGACCUGAGAGGGUGAUCGGCCACACUGGAACUGAGACACGGUCCAGACUCCUACGGGAGGCAGCAGUGGGGAAUAUUGCACAAUGGGCGAAAGCCUGAUGCAGCAACGCCGCGUGAGCGAUGAAGGCCUUCGGGUCGUAAAGCUCUGUCCUCAAGGAAGAUAAUGACGGUACUUGAGGAGGAAGCCCCGGCUAACUACGUGCCAGCAGCCGCGGUAAUACGUAGGGGGCUAGCGUUAUCCGGAAUUACUGGGCGUAAAGGGUGCGUAGGUGGUUUUUUAAGUCAGAAGUGAAAGGCUACGGCUCAACCGUAGUAAGCUUUUGAAACUAGAGAACUUGAGUGCAGGAGAGGAGAGUAGAAUUCCUAGUGUAGCGGUGAAAUGCGUAGAUAUUAGGAGGAAUACCAGUAGCGAAGGCGGCUCUCUGGACUGUAACUGACACUGAGGCACGAAAGCGUGGGGAGCAAACAGGAUUAGAUACCCUGGUAGUCCACGCCGUAAACGAUGAGUACUAGGUGUCGGGGGUUACCCCCCUCGGUGCCGCAGCUAACGCAUUAAGUACUCCGCCUGGGAAGUACGCUCGCAAGAGUGAAACUCAAAGGAAUUGACGGGGACCCCGCACAAGUAGCGGAGCAUGUGGUUUAAUUCGAAGCAACGCGAAGAACCUUACCUAAGCUUGACAUCCCACUGACCUCUCCCUAAUCGGAGAUUUCCCUUCGGGGACAGUGGUGACAGGUGGUGCAUGGUUGUCGUCAGCUCGUGUCGUGAGAUGUUGGGUUAAGUCCCGCAACGAGCGCAACCCUUGCCUUUAGUUGCCAGCAUUAAGUUGGGCACUCUAGAGGGACUGCCGAGGAUAACUCGGAGGAAGGUGGGGAUGACGUCAAAUCAUCAUGCCCCUUAUGCUUAGGGCUACACACGUGCUACAAUGGGUGGUACAGAGGGUUGCCAAGCCGCGAGGUGGAGCUAAUCCCUUAAAGCCAUUCUCAGUUCGGAUUGUAGGCUGAAACUCGCCUACAUGAAGCUGGAGUUACUAGUAAUCGCAGAUCAGAAUGCUGCGGUGAAUGCGUUCCCGGGUCUUGUACACACCGCCCGUCACACCAUGGAAGUUGG
rnacentral:rRNA from 3 species